GNARUAUGAAGCUCCAGCUUGCUGGGGUGGAUGAGUGGCGAACGGGUGAGUAACACGUGAGUAACCUUCCCUUGACUCUGGGAUAAGCCCGGGAAACUGGGUCUAAUACCGGAUAUGACCUCCUGUCGCAUGGUGGGGGGUGGAAAGAUUUAUCGGUCUUGGAUGGACUCGCGGCCUAUCAGCUUGUUGGUGAGGUAAUGGCUCACCAAGGCGACGACGGGUAGCCGGCCUGAGAGGGUGACCGGCCACACUGGGACUGAGACACGGCCCAGACUCCUACGGGAGGCAGCAGUGGGGAAUAUUGCACAAUGGGCGCAAGCCUGAUGCAGCGACGCCGCGUGAGGGAUGACGGCCUUCGGGUUGUAAACCUCUUUCAGUAGGGAAGAAGCCUUCGGGUGACGGUACCUGCAGAAGAAGCGCCGGCUAACUACGUGCCAGCAGCCGCGGUAAUACGUAGGGCGCGAGCGUUAUCCGGAAUUAUUGGGCGUAAAGAGCUCGUAGGCGGUUUGUCGCGUCUGCCGUGAAAGUCCGGGGCUUAACCCCGGAUCUGCGGUGGGUACGGGCAGACUAGAGUGCAGUAGGGGAGACCGGAAUUCCUGGUGUAGCGGUGAAAUGCGCAGAUAUCAGGAGGAACACCGAUGGCGAAGGCAGGUCUCUGGGCUGUUACUGACGCUGAGGAGCGAAAGCAUGGGGAGCGAACAGGAUUAGAUACCCUGGUAGUCCAUGCCGUAAACGUUGGGCACUAGGUGUGGGGGACAUUCCACGUUUUCCGCGCCGCAGCUAACGCAUUAAGUGCCCCGCCUGGGGAGUACGGCCGCAAGGCUAAAACUCAAAGGAAUUGACGGGGGCCCGCACAAGCGGCGGAGCAUGCGGAUUAAUUCGAUGCAACGCGAAGAACCUUACCAAGGCUUGACAUGUUCUCGAUCGCCACAGAGAUGUGGUUUCCCCUUUGGGGCGGGUUCACAGGUGGUGCAUGGUUGUCGUCAGCUCGUGUCGUGAGAUGUUGGGUUAAGUCCCGCAACGAGCGCAACCCUCGUUCCAUGUUGCCAGCGGGUUAUGCCGGGGACUCAUGGGAGACUGCCGGGGUCAACUCGGAGGAAGGUGGGGACGACGUCAAAUCAUCAUGCCCCUUAUGUCUUGGGCUUCACGCAUGCUACAAUGGCCGGUACAAUGGGUUGCGAUACUGUGAGGUGGAGCUAAUCCCAAAAAGCCGGUCUCAGUUCGGAUUGGGGUCUGCAACUCGACCCCAUGAAGUCGGAGUCGCUAGUAAUCGCAGAUCAGCAACGCUGCGGUGAAUACGUUCCCGGGCCUUGUACACACCGCCCGUCAAGUCACGAAAGUCGGUAACACCCGAAGCUCGGUGGCCCAACC
rnacentral:rRNA from 1 species